CCUACGGGUGGCAGCAGUGGGGAAUAUUUCACAAUGGGGGAAACCCUGAUGCAGCAACGCCGCGUGAGUGAAGAAGUAUUUCGGUAUGUAAAGUUCUAUCAUCAGGGAAGAAUAUGACGGUACCUGAUUAAGAAGCCCCGGCUAACUACGUGCCAGCAGCCGCGGUAAUACGUAGGGGGCAAGCGUUAUCCGGAUUUACUGGGUGUAAAGAGAGCGUAGACGGAUAAGCUAGAGUGAAGUGAAAUGCCGGGGCUUAACCCCCGAACAGCUUUGGAAACUGUGAAGCUAGAGUGCAGGAGAGGUAAUUGGAAUUCCUAGUGUAGCGGUGAAAUGUGUAGAUAUUAGGAGGAACACCAGUGGCGAAGGCGGGUUACUGGAAUGUAACUGACGUUGAGGCACGAAAGCGUAGGGAGCAAACAGGAUUAGAUACCCGUGUAGUC
rnacentral:rRNA from 1 species